rnacentral:rRNA from 1 species
GACGAACGCUGGCGGCGUGCUUAACACAUGCAAGUCGAACGAAGUGGCGAACGGGUGCGUAACGCGUAAUCAACCUGCCCUUCAGGGGGGGACAACAAUUGGAAACGACUGCUAAUACCGCAUACUGACGGCGGGGAUUGCGUCUGAUUAGAUAGUUGGCGGGGUAACGGCCAACCAAGGCGAUGCUCAGUAGCCGGUCUGAGAGGAUGAACGGCCACAUUGGUACUGAGAAACGGCCCAGACUCCUACGGGAGGCAGCAGUGGGGAAUCUUCCGCAAUGGACGAAAGUCUGACGGAGCAACGCCGCGUGAGUGAUGACGGCCUUCGGGUUGUAAAGCUCUGUUAAUCGGGACGCGGUACCGGAAUAGAAAGCCACGGCUAACUACGUGCCAGCAGCCGCGGUAAUAC